rnacentral:rRNA from 1 species
ACAGCAGCCGCCGCGGUAAUACGUAGGUGGCAAGCGUUGUCCGGAAUUAUUGGGCGUAAAGGGCUCGCAGGCGGUUUCUUAAGUCUGAUGUGAAAGCCCCCGGCUCAACCAGGGAGGGUCAUUGGAAACUGGGAAACUUGAGUGCAGAAGAGGAGAGUGGAAUUCCACGUGUAGCGGUGAAAUGCGUAGAGAUGUGGAGGAACACCAGUGGCGAAGGCGACUCUCUGGUCUGUAACUGACGCUGAGGAGCGAAAGCGUGGGGAGCGAACAGGAUUAGAUACCCGGGUAGUCCCUGUCUCUUAUAC